rnacentral:rRNA from 1 species
UACGUAGGGGGCUAGCGUUGUCCGGAAUCAUUGGGCGUAAAGAGCGCGUAGGCGGCCAGAUAAGUCCGGUGUGAAAGUCAAAGGCUCAACCUUUGAAUGCCGCUGGAAACUGUCUGGCUAGAGUCCGGGAGGGGCGAGUGGAAUUCCUGGUGUAGCGGUGAAAUGCGCAGAUAUCAGGAGGAACACCGGUGGCGAAGGCGGAUCUCUGGGCCUUACCUGACGCUCAGGUGCGAAAGCUAGGGGAGCGAACAGG